rnacentral:lncRNA from 1 species
CCAGCUUUCCCAGGAAUCUCCAUACUGCUUUCCAAAUUGGCCGCACCAAUUUGCAGUCCCACCAGCAAUGUACAAGUGUACCCUUUUCCCCACAUCCUCGCCAGCACUUGUUGUUGUUUGACUUCAUAAUGGCUGCCAAUCUUACUGGAGUGAGAUGGUAUCUUAGAGUGGUUUUGAUUUGCAUUUCUCUGACUGCUAGAGAUGGUGAGCAUUUUUUCAUGUACUUGUUGAUUGAUUGUAUGUCCUCCUCUGAGAAGUGUCUGUUCAGGUCCUUGGCCCAUUUGUUGAUUGGGUUAUUUGUUUUCUUAUUGUUUAAUUUUUUGAGUUCUUUGUAUACUCUGGAUAUUAGGGCUCUAUCUGAAGUGUGAGGGGUAAAAAUUUGUUCCCAGUAUGUAGGCUCCCUAUUUACCUCUCUUAGUGUUUCUCUUGCUGAGAAAAAACUUUUUAGUUUGAGUAAAUCACAUUUGUUGAUUCUUGUUUUUAACUCUUGUGCUAUGGGUGUCCUAUUAAGGAAUUGGAGCCCGACCCCACAAUAUGUAGAUUGGAGCCAACUUUUUCUUCUAUCAGACGCAGAGUCUCUGAUUUGAUAUCAAGCUCUUUGAUCCAUUUUGAGUUAACUUUUGUGCAUGGUGAAAGAAAGGGAUUCAGUUUCAUUUUGUUGCAUAUGGAUUUCCAGUUUUCCCAGCACCCUUUGUUGAAGAUGCUAUCCUUCCUCCAUUGCAUGCUUUUAGCACCUUUAUCAAAUAUAAGAUAGCUGUAAUUUUGUGGAUUAGUCUCUGUGUCCUCUAUUCUGUACCAUUGGUCCACCUGCCUGUUUUGGUACCAGUACCAUGCUGUUUUUGUUACUAUUGCUCUGUAGUAUAGUUUGAAGUCUGUUAUCGCUAUACCGCCUGAUUCACACUUCCUGCUUAGAAUUGCUUUUGCUAUUCUGGGUCUUUUAUUUUUCCAUAUGAAUUUCAUAAUUGCUUUAUCUAUUUCUACAAGAAAUGACAUUGGGAUUUUGAUUGGCAUUCCAUUAAACCUAUAGAGAACUUUUGGUAAUAUCGCCAUUUUGAUGAUGUUAGUUCUGCCUAUCCAUG